rfam:Colletotrichum salicis strain CBS 607.94 Scaffold_998.1, whole genome shotgun sequence.
CCUGGUGUUAUGAUGAUACCCCAGCACAACGCAUAGUUCAUCUGAAUUCUAUGAUGAAAACUUUCCUUAUUAGUCUUUCGCUCCCAUCUGACUACACCACU